UUCAACUUUAUUUUUUAUUAAAUUAUAUUGAUAUUUGUAUUAUUUCCUAUGAGAGGCAGUAUUAUUUGUUAAUAUUGGUCCAUGUGUCUUUGUGUUUAGGUGGUUGGUGAGGCUUUGGAAUGCAGUGAUAGUUCCACGGGUCGAGGAUGCUGUUAUAUCUAGAGUAACAGCCAAACGCUCUCCCUCCCAAAGACGGUCUCCCAACAACAAAGGUCUGAGCCCAGGUCAGAGGGCGGUAGUCAAAGCAGCUCUCAAUAUCCUGCUGAAUAAGGCUGUGCUGCAGGGCUGCCCGCUGCCCAGAACAGAGAUUGACAGGUUCUUACCAGAGUUCCAGGGAGGAUGUUUCCCUCUUUCCACCAUUGGCUCUGCCUACAGGAAAGGUGGCAGAAAAGGACGCGAUAAUGGCGCUUGGAGACGAGCCAAUACCAGUCCAAGGAAGAAAGGAAGCCCCGCCUCUGGGAGGAGCUCUAGCUGCUCUUUAAGAGAAGGAUCUCUGGCCAAUUCAAGCGCUCACUCAAUGAUAAAUGUCAAUCAUGCAAGACUCAGUGAAGGAGUUGCUGUGGGUCUGUCACUCUGCUCUGAUGAUGAGACGGAUCUCAUCAGAGAACUCCAGACCAUGUGCUCUAGCAAAUCUGAGCCAGACAUAAGCAAGAUUGCUCUUUUUAAAGAGGACUUCAUCAUGCUUCCAGACUCGAUUCCGCCCACUCCUCAGAGGAGUGAUGCCGAGGUCACGCAGCCCCAAACAUGCCCUGUAACAACAGAGUGCGCUGUGGAUAUGCCCCAUCCUCCACCACAGAAGAUCGACAGUAGUCACACUUCUCCUCAGCGAGUGACAAGGCCCAGAUCGCAUCUGCCCAUCCCCAGCAGCAGAGGGGCUCAGCAGGUGAACACCUCUAGCAGCAGUUCCCUUCAGAGUCACAGCAGCAGCCCUAGCAGAGCCUCCACGAGCAGCAGAGCAAGGCAGCCCCCAUCCCAUAACAACAGAAACAACUUCUCACAAGACGACAUCUGGUUCCUGGACCCCAGCUGUAAUGAAAACUACAGUAACCGUUGAUAGACACCUCCCACUGCCCUCCCUUUGCCCUCAGUCUUUUAUGUUGUGAAGUUUGGUUACUGGCAGCAUUUUAGUAUUUGUACAUGUUGUCCAUACUUGUUACACUAUAUUACAUUGUGUACUUUGGGACCAUAGUUUUAAUAUAUUCAACUGUUUAAGUAAAGAACUCUGAGGAAAAAAAAGUACGAUGAGCUAACAGGAGAAAGACUGCUUGAACGUUUUACAAUUUGCCUUUUAGGUCAAAUGUUUUGGAUCAAAGUAAGAGCUGGUAGUGUUUUUGCUCUUUAGUAUUUACAAUCAAUCAUGUUUUAUGUUUAAAUAAGUGAAAGUUUUAAAAACUGUCGAAAAUCAGGGUUUUACCAAAUAUGUGUAAAUAAGAACUGGGAACUUAAAUGUUGUAUAGAUUGGUGUGUGCGUGUGCGUGCGUGUGUGUGUGUGAUACUGCGCUUGUACAUUGGAGGACUUUUGAAGGGAAAAUGAGAAGUGUAUAUAUUGUUUGUAUUAUUAAAUUUUGGUUCAUAUUUUUUCACUCGUUUCCAAAUGAACUGAAUGUGGCAAUAAGUACCGCCAUUGCGAUCACAGGAUAUUUUGUUUUUGUCCAUUAAGCCAUAAUUGGUAUUUUCAAUUACUCUCAUGCGUGCUCAGUGACUGGCUUGAACUUUGACUUUGUGAAACCCAACUAUGAAAUCGGAAGCGGCGCGCAUUAACUUUUCGUUUGUCUUCUAUAUUGAACAUUUAGGAUAAACAAGUAUUAUUUUAAAGUCAGUAUUGUUCAUACUGAAGAGAUUAUAGUCGACCUCUGAUGUUUAAAUGUAUUAUAGUUGUCGGAUGAGGUUCAGAGAAGUUGUCCUGUUUCCUCCAAGCACAACAAUUAAAAAUGCACUAUCCUAGACAUCACCUCAGCGCUUGGCUUUUCUUUCUCCACACAGC
rnacentral:lncRNA from 1 species